rnacentral:lncRNA from 1 species
UUCUUAAUUAAUAUAUAUAAUAUAUAUGUACAUAUAUACCUAAAAAUCUUAACCCUAAUUUCUUAUCGCGUGUCUUUUAUAUUAUAAAAUUGUUCUGCUUUAAUACUUUAAAUAUUUUAAUUGUAAGUUAUGAUAUUUUAAAUAAUGAGUUAUGUUACGCUUUUGUGUUUUGCAUUUAAAAAAUAUAAGAGUAAAAAUGAAAAAAAAAAUUGCGGGUAACCCGUAUA